AUGCAGUCGAACGGUAACAGAACUAGCUUGCUAGUUGCUGACGAGUGGCGGACGGGUGAGUAACGCGUAGGAAUCUACCGAGUAGUGGGGGACAACAGUUGGAAACGACUGCUAAUACCGCAUAAUCCCUGAGGGGGAAAGGAGGGGAUCUGUUUACAGACCUUUCGCUAUUUGAUGAGCCUGCGUGAGAUUAGCUAGUUGGUGAGGUAAUGGCUCACCAAGGCGACGAUCUCUAGCUGGUCUGAGAGGAUGAUCAGCCACACUGGAACUGAGACACGGUCCAGACUCCUACGGGAGGCAGCAGUGGGGAAUAUUGCACAAUGGGGGAAACCCUGAUGCAGCCAUGCCGCGUGUGUGAAGAAGGCCUUCGGGUUGUAAAGCACUUUCAGCGAGGAGGAAAGGAGUAUGUUUAAUAAACGUGCUCUGUGACGUUACUCGCAGAAGAAGCACCGGCUAACUCCGUGCCAGCCGCCGGGGGCAA
rnacentral:rRNA from 1 species